ensembl:lncRNA
CUGAAUUUGAUAGUUGGUAACUGUCUUUUGUACUGUUGACUAGCACAAUCAAAAUCCGCCAACAAUACCAACUACUUACACUUUUUUAGUGUAAAAUAGAUGCCGUUUUUUUUGUUUACUAUUAUUUCCAACAGUUAAACAGUUGCCCACCGAAAAAAAAACAGGGGGUGCUGCAGCACCCUCAGCACCCCCACUUCCCGCGCCUAUGGUGAUGUGUACUAGGCCUUGCCACAUUUUCAGUAACAGUAAGUUUCCAGUCACUGAAUCUAGGAUGCUUUUGGCAGAUUUAAUGCUUUUGCGAACAUCGUAUCUUGACUUUGUAGGCUUCAGAGUCCCCAGAUUUAAAUGCUAUAGAGCGAGCACGUAAACUCUAAUGUAUCUGUGCAGUACCCCAUGGUUACUGGUUUGGAUAUGUGCACUUCUCAAAUUUCUGGGUGACUUAGAAAGGCAGGUCUCCCCAACCAUCUCCUUACCACCUUCUAUAGGGGAACCAUUGAAAACAUUUUGAACUACUGCCUCACUUCAUGGUUUGGAGUUGCAGGGUUCAGGAACAGCAGUGUCACAGGCAGGGGGCGCUUUCCGCCACUGGCUCUUCUCUUCCCCCCCCAAGGGAGCACCACGUAUCUUACCCGACAAAGACCAGGGCAAGAAGGAGAUUGUUUAAAACAAUGAAGUUUCCUUUAUUAAAUAUCUUUGCAAGAAAAGUCUAAAAGGAUGGAGCUUUGAAGUCUGCAGAAGGGGGGGCUGCACAAAUAAGUCGACUUCAAGCAGUGAACCAUUUAUUGAAUUCCACUGAUGCAGGGCAGUAAUUGCCAGACGGCGUGGUAUAAAAGGGAGAUCGAAUGGUCUCCACAGAUGUCGGUCAACAAUCUACAGGUAACUUGUUCUGUUAGGAAGGGCUACCAGUCUCUGCUGGAUUAAGACAGCAACAAAUGGCUGGCCUGGAUACAGCACGUCCUUCUCUACGCUCUGCUGGUGCAGGGAGGGAUACACCAAUUUCAGGUCAAUUCGGUGGAGCUGGCAGACUCGCCGGCCAAUUAGAGCUCAACAAUAACAAAGGGGGAGGUCAACUUGGUACAACAACGGCUCACCAGGCAGUUGGAGCGUAACAGCAAUGGGGCAGUAUAACUGGAUACAACAAUGGCUCUCCAGACUCCGACGGUUAGAGCGUAACAGUGAUGGGGCAGCUUAACUUUAUACAUCAACAGCUCUCCAGGCUCUGUGGGCACAAGACAACACUGCACAGAAUAUGUUAAUUUGGUGCAACGGCAAUACUCCCUUUCCUGGUAUAAAUCCGCUGACAGGGGAACAACAAGGACGACUAUUAGGCAAAGCCAUUUUCAUUAACACCCCGAGCCAAUGUGUCUCACGCUCCUGUGCAGUGAGAAAAUUACCCAAGUUAAAUAUAUUUGUGAAUGAAACUGCACUCAAAGUAUUCAUACAAAGUGGGUACUCCAACCAAACAUGCACAGCAUGUGACCACUACAAACAAGCGCCAUGCAAUAACACACAGUGUAAACAAAGUAGGGAGCAAUACCUCCACAGUGGGGAGUCACACAGCUACCUUAUUAUGUCAUGAAAUAACCAGCUCGCAUAAGAGAUGCCAGUCCGCCGUCACACAGGGCUAACUUAUUUACCAGUCGAGGGAGUCAGCGAGCAAGGUGAAGAGGACCAACCAUGUGUAGAGCCACAUUCACAGCACUAUUAGUUUCCCAGCAUAGCUACACCGUCUCCUCAAUAUAUACAGAAAGCACUUAUCUGUCGAGGGGGGAUAUCUUCAAUCUCCUCACAUCCACAGAGUCAGUCACUACCGAUCCAAUUCCUAAGCUCCACUUGUAGCCAUAUGUCCUUUUGCCUUUAUCACUCAACUCAAAGUGGUCCAAACAUGUAGUUUCACAACUUGCCCGCUUUCCGACGUCCUCACCCCUGUUGAUCCUCAAUCCUCCAUAUCACCCUCCUUCCUCCCAUCCUGCUGUUUCCUGGGGUAUUUAAAGUACUCCAACCAGUCUAGUCACCAAUCACAAGCCCACGUCGAUUAACCCGUACACCUGUUCCCAUUUUCUCAUUACAAAUCACUCGUAACUGGUUUGUUUUCUAAAUCCCGGAAGAUCGACCAUCUUGUUGCUGACUGUGUUCAUCCCCAAAAAUCAUUCCCCCAAGGGACACUCGCCGUCUACGUUAUGGUUCCAC